ACGUUAUCAAGAAAGGUGGAGGGAUUAGACCCUAUGAAACCUUAGCAACCCUUUAUUCUUAUUUAAAGAAGGUGCUACAUUCUACUACGUUGUUACAUACAACACGGCAGAUAACUC
rnacentral:ncRNA from 2 species